AGAAUCAACGCUGGCGGCGUGCCUAACACAUGCAAGUCGAACGAGAAAGGGUAGCAAUACCUGAGUAAAGUGGCGCACGGGUGAGUAACACGUGACUAACCUACCCUGGAGUGGGGGAUAACUGAGGGAAACCUUAGCUAAUACCGCAUAACACCUACGGGUCAAAGGAGCAAUUCGCUUCAGGAGGGGUCGCGGCCGAUUAGUUAGUUGGCGGGGUAAUGGCCCACCAAGACAGUGAUCGGUA
rnacentral:rRNA from 1 species